rnacentral:rRNA from 1 species
AACGAACGCUGGCGGCAGGCUUAACACAUGCAAGUCGAACGCCCCGCAAGGGGAGUGGCAGACGGGUGAGUAACGCGUGGGAAUCUACCGUACCCUACGGAACAACAGUUGGAAACGACUGCUAAUGCCGUAUACGCCCUACGGGGGGAAGAUUUAUCGGGGUAUGAUGAGCCCGCGUUGGAUUAGCUGGUUGGUGGGGUAAAGGCCUACCAAGGCGACGAUCCAUAGCUGGUCUGAGAGGAUGAUCAGCCACAUUGGGACUGAGACACGGCCCAAACUCCUACGGGAGGCAGCAGUGGGGAACAUUGGACAAUGGGCGCAAGCCUGAUCCAGCCAUGCCGCGUGAGUGAUGAAGGUCUUAGGAUUGUAAAGCUCUUUCACCGAUGAAGAUAAUGACAGUAGUCGGAGAAGAAGCCCCGGCUAACUUCGUGCCAGCCGCCGCCGUAA